rnacentral:rRNA from 1 species
GAUGAACGCUGGCGGCGUGCUUAACACAUGCAAGUCGAACGAACCUUCGGGUUAGUGGCGGACGGGUGAGUAACGCGUGAGAAUCUGCCCUCAGGAGGGGGACAACAGCUGGAAACGGCUGCUAAUACCCCAUAUGCCGCGAGGUGAAAUGAAUUUCGCCUGAGGAUGAGCUCGCGUCUGAUUAGCUAGUUGGUGUAGGUAAUGGCUCACCAAGGCAUCGAUCAGUAGCUGGUCUGAGAGGAUGAUCAGCCACACUGGGACUGAGACACGGCCCAGACUCCUACGGGAGGCAGCAGUGGGGAAUUUUCCGCAAUGGGCGAAAGCCUGACGGAGCAACGCCGCGUGAGGGA